rnacentral:rRNA from 1 species
UGAAGAGGGAAGAGCCCAGCACCGAAGCCUGCGGCAGUUUUGCUGUUAGGCAAUGUGGUGUGCGGGUCGGUUAGCGGGACCGUCACUCCACUCGAAGUCCAGCAUUGAGUAUGGUUAUCACUGGAUUUGGCCCAUAGAGGGUGAGAGGCCCAUACGAGUGGAGGUUCAGAUGUGUGUGAUGGUUCACCAGACCGACCUCAGAGUCGGGUUGUUUGAGAUUGCAGCCCAAAGAGGGUGGUAAACUCCAUCCAAGGCUAAAUACUUACACGAGUCCGAUAGCGAACAAGUACCGUGAGGGAAAGUUGAAAAGUACUCUGAAGAGAGAGUAAACAGUACGUGAAGCCGCAUGCAGGUAAACGGGUGGCGUCAAGCUGCGAGCCCGGAGGAUUCAGCUGAUUAGGAUGUAGUGUACGCGUGCCUGGUGCGUCGAGAGACCGGAAUAAGAUGUUUUGCGGUCCACUCCUCUGCCGGGAGUGGGGUGCUAUUGGUGUGCAUGUGCAAGCGUGUGUGCCAGUUGCCGCUAUACAUGCCGGUUGGGUGCCGGAGUAUGCCGCACAUCUGUUGGGUCACCUAGUCAGUGCAUUUUCUCCGCGGUGAACACCACGACCGGUGGAACUGCCAGUCUGCUGUGAUCAAGUCGUGUCCUUCUGACCCCUCUCUUCCUCUCUCUCUCAUUAUUACUACUGCUACAUAUUGCCUCUCCUCUGUGGGUGGUAGUGGUGGCGGUGGUGAUGAUUGUGAGUGUGUGGGAGUGGAUGUGUGUGUCGGGUGGAUGCGAUCGCAGAUGGAGUCGGUGGACGGCGCAGUGGUGCUUCGGUACUGCCGUGUGUUAUCGUACACUCUCCAUCGUAAGCGAUUAGUGGGGUUGACUGAGUACUGUGACUGCCUCUCCAUUAAUCGGCGGAUUGCAGCGGUAAAAAUGACUGUGCAGGGCACUGGAGUUAUCCGCCUCAAUAUGGUACCCGGCACGCACGUUACAGGUGCUAUGUAAUCGAGACACGCCGUUGUCUGUCUGGUGUUGGGCCUGACUGUCGUGUUGCCUACGCAAAGUGGGUCCGGCGGUGGUUGUAUAUACUUGGCAGUGGCAGUGUGAAGCGUGUCUCGGGUGUGUGUGGUACUGAGGGUGAAAUAGUCAGUGGUGCUGUGGUAGACGAGCUACCCGACCCGUCUUGAAACACGGACCAAGGAGUUUAACAUGUGUGCGAGUCAAAGGGUCCUACGAAACCCCGAGGCGCAAUGAAAGUGAAGUUCAUACUGUACUUCUGUACGUGCGCAGUACAGUGUGGCGAGGUGAGAUCUCCUUGUGCUCAUGAUACACGCCGCAGACCUUACUGGGCAAUAUUAGGGCAAGGAGCGCAUCACCGGCCCGUCGCAUGUUGUGGUCAUAGGUGUACUUGUGCGUGGAGGGGUGCGUGUGUAUAUG